UACGUAGGGGGCAAGCGUUGUCCGGAAUCAUUGGGCGUAAAGCGCGUGUAGGCGGCCUUGUAAGUCCGUUCUGAAAGUCCGGGGCUCAACCCCGGGAGGCGGAUGGAUACUGCAAGGCUCGAGUACGGAAGAGGCGAGUGGAAUUCCCGGUGUAGCGGUGAAAUGCGCAGAUAUCGGGAGGAACACCAGUGGCGAAGGCGACUACCUGGCCUGUUCUUGACGCUGAGGCGCGAAAGCUAGGGGAGCAAACGGG
rnacentral:rRNA from 1 species